rnacentral:misc_RNA from 1 species
GAACUACGAUGGCCUGCUAGAUUGCCAAUUAUCUCGUCGAUUGAAACGAAUGUACCAGCAAAGGUUCCAAGAAAGAGACCGUAUCUCAAAGUCUCCUUCAAAGCCAUGGAAAUCGCAUCUCGAUUCGUAAUCACUCCUUUCUUCCCGAGGGAGGCCAAAGCCUUUCUCCGCUUCAGUCCAGCGAGGACUGAGAAGAGGGAGAGGCCACCUUUGAGACCAGCUCCAAUUGUGAAGCCUUUAGCAGAAGCAACAAGGAUCCG